GAUGAACGCUAGCGGCAGGCUUAAUACAUGCAAGUCGAGGGGGCAGCAAUGUCACCGGCGAACGGGUGCGUAACGCGUAUGCAACCUACCUACAUCAGGGGGAUAGCCCUAGGAAACUGGGAUUAACACCGCAUAACAUAUGACAAGGCAUCUUGUUAUAUUGAAAUAUUUAUAGGAUGUAGAUGGGCAUGCGUAGGAUUAGCUAGUUGGUAAGGUAACGGCUUACCAAGGCUACGAUCCUUAGGGGCUCUGAGAGGAGUAUCCCCCACACUGGCACUGAGAUACGGGCCAGACUCCUACGGGAGGCAGCAGUAGGGAAUAUAGGGCAAUGGAGGCAACUCUGACCCAGCCAUGCCGCGUGCAGGAAGACGGUCCUCUGGAUUGUAAACUGCUUUUGGAUGGGAAGAAUGUGUGGCUUGCGAGCUAUAAUGACGGUACCAUUAGAAUAAGCCACGGCUAACUACGUGCCAGCCGCCGCGGUAA
rnacentral:rRNA from 1 species